CCUACGGGUGCUGCAGUGAGGAAUAUUGGUCAAUGGGCGCGAGCCUGAACCAGCCAAGUAGCGUGAAGGAUGACUGCCCUACGGGUUGUAAACUUCUUUUAUCAAGGAAUAAAGUGAGGCCCGUGUGCCUUUUUUUAAGUACUUUUUGAAUCAGGAUCGGCUAACUCCGUGACAGCAGCCGCGGUAAUACGUAGGGGGCGAGCGUUAUCCAGAAUUACUGGGGGUAAAGGGAGCGUAGACGGGGAGGUAAGCCUGAAGUGGAAGCCCCCGGCCCAACCGCGGAACUGCUUUGGGAACUGGUGUGCUGGAGGAUGGGAGGGGUAGGCGGAAUUCCUGGUGUAGCGGUGAAAUGCGUAGAUAUCAGGAGGAACACCGGUGGCGAAGGCGGCUUACUGGACCGUAACUGACGUUGAGGCUCGAAAGCGUGGGGAGCGAACAGGAUUAGAUACCCUUGUAGUC
rnacentral:rRNA from 1 species